CCUAGGCGGCUUAGAGCGGGGACAGUUUAUGACAGGGGCGUCUGCAGCUGGUGACACUCUUUAGGAAAGUUAUUUCUCAUAACCCUGGGAAGUUGCAUGCUGUUGCCACAGCAGAGCGAGCCCCAAGUAGGCUCCAUGCCCAACACGAGGUUUGAACUCAUGACCCCGAGAUUGAGAGUCGAAUGCUCUACCCACUGCGACAGUCCGAUGACCCUUGACCCUUUCCAGUUUUCUAAAGAAGACCUGUUUCAGGCUACAUCCUCAGAGUCUUGUUGGCUCCAUUGCAUUCUUGGUGGCCAGAACCCAGAGCCCACAGGCACAGGGAAUUUACAGAGACCCUCGUUUCUUCACUCUCUCCCCUCUGCUGGUCUCCUAAUCUCAUCUACCCCCUUGGCCUGCUUCUCUUUCUUUUUAAUCCAGUUUUAUUGAGAUGUAAUUAACAUGUAAUGUGGUAUGAGUUUAAGAUAAAUAGCAUAAUGAUUUGCUAUA